AUACUAGUUCUAAAAUUAAAUUUUUGAGUGAAACAGUAUACGUGCAUGAUUGUCCACUGUGUAGUAGCAAAAAAUAUAAGUCAAAUCAAAUCUGGUCAAAUUGUCAAUGUUACAACUGUAGAUGUUACCGGAUUCCUUAUCGAUUGAAUAUGCCAGAUUAGAUCUGAAUCUUUAUAAUGUGAACGAAAGUGUAAAUUUAAGAUUUAACGAGUUUAAUUCAUUGUUUCUUUUUGUACUAUUGAGCAGUUUCUCGUUUCGCGUUUGUGGAAUGCAUUUUAGUUUAUGCCUGGUUUGUGACCGGGUAUAAACAAAAAAUAAUGUCCCUUAUUACAGGGUAUAGAUUAAAAAAUAAGCUACUUCAGAACAAAGCUCUAUUAGUUCUCGUUACUUUGAUUGGGACAGCAGGUCUGUCCUAUUGGAUCAAAGACAGAUACAAAGCUGCUAAGCUUAAGCAACAAAAACCAGCUGAUGAAUCUACAAGAAAGCGCCCAAAAGCAGCUGUCGACAAAUUAUUUUUUAUAAGGUUGUACUCCUUAAGCAAAAUUGCUGUUCCUUCAUUUUUUUGUAGAGAGUCUCUUGAACUAUGGCUUUUGAUAGGUUUCUUGUGGGCUCGUACACAUCUGACCCUUUGCAUAGCUGACAUUACUGGAAAAAAUGCCAAAUCACUUGUGUCACGGAAUUAUAAGAAAUUCAUUCAAGGGGUACUAAACUUGGCUGCUGUGGCUAUUCCAGCUAGUAUUGUCAACUCUGGAAUCAAAUAUUGGUCGUUUUUGCUGAGGUUUAACACUCGUCAACGCAUCUCUGAGCAUCUUCACGAUUUGUAUUUAAACGAUUUAACAUUUUACCGAGCUGCCAAUAUGGAGAAAAUUGAUAACAUCGACCAACGAAUUACACAAGAUAUAGACAAGUUUGCUGAAUCUUUUUCCUCGCUCUUUGGCACCAUUUUCAAGCCUUUUUUGGAUAUCAUACUACUAACUUCACGUCUUGUAAAGGUUGUUGGAUACAAAGGCUCUUUCAUAAUGUAUUUUUAUUAUCUCGUGUCAUCGAUUAUACUGCAUUUGAUCAUGCCUCCCUACGCUAGGCUAACAGCCGAAUUACAAAGACUAGAAGGUAAUUUUCGUCAUCUCCAUUCGCGAGUCAUUAAUUACUCGGAAGAGAUAGCUUUUUACAGAGGAAUCAAAACGGAAAAAGAAUAUUUAGAUGAUAGUUUCAAUUGCAUAUACGAUCAAAGUAAAUACAUCUUCCAAAAACAAGCCUCGUUAGGAAUUUUUGAUUCAUGGCUAGUAAAAUAUGGCUCUACUCUGGUUGGAUACGUAGUAUUAGCCAUUCCAGUGUUCAGCACCAUAAAUUCUAACGCAAAAAAUUCAGAUACUUAUUCUGUGAAUAACAUUACUCGUGACUAUGUGAGUAAUUCACAUAUUUUAAUCAAUUUAGCUCGCUCUAUCGGAAAAAUUGUGCUACUGUACAAAAACUUUACCCAACUCGCCGGAUAUACAACACGCGUAGCCGAACUAAGAGAACUGUUACUAAAUAUCAACGCCGAAGAAAAUGAAGCUGAUAAGAAAGACAUAUACGAAUAUGCAGACCGAAUCGAAUUUAAACACGUCGAUAUUAUUUCUCCGGAUAACAUUGUCUUACUUCAAGAUGUUACCUUUUCAGUUUAUCCUGGUACUAAUUUGCUGAUUGUGGGACCUAACGGGUCUGGGAAGUCUAGCCUAUUCCGCGUUUUGUCCAAUAUUUGGCCAUUAUCUAAUGGCCGUUUGGUUCGGCCUCGCGGUAAUGACAUCUUUUAUAUCCCUCAGCGUCCGUAUUUUACUUCUGGGACCUUCCGGGAGCAAGUCCUUUACCCCCACUCUGAAGUUGAAAUGAAGAGCCGUGGCAUUACUGAUGAUGAUCUAGCUUCUCUCUUGGAACAAACCGAGAUCAAGUAUCUGCUCGACCGCGAGUCUUGGGAAAGAAAACAAGACUGGACGGAAAAACUUUCACAAGGAGAACAGCAGCGACUAGCUAUGGCGCGCCUAUUUUACCAUUCCCCAAAGUUUGCAAUCUUAGAUGAAUGUACCUCACAGUUGUCUUUGGAUAUCGAGGCUUUGAUAUUUUCGAAAUGCAAGAAUCUCGACAUUACACUCAUCACAGUCGCGCACCGUAAAUCCCUCUGGAAAUAUCAUUCUCAUGUGUUGAUUCUAGAUGGACUUGGAAAUUGGACUUUUCGUCAAAUAAACUCCGAGGAUCUGCUUCAAAAUAACAAUCAAAUUUUUAAUCAAUAGUGAAAGACACCUUAAGGCUGUUAUUAUCAAAAUACUGGUCGAAUGCAUUCUUAAGCAAGAAGAAUAGAAAUUCAGUUUAAUGAUGUGCGCCUUUAAAUAUGCUUAAAACAAAAUAUCUCAGCGAAAUAUUGACGAAAUCCUUGAAAAAGCAAGUGUACUAGAGAUAGGGCUAAUUUUACACGAACAGUUUACAGGACUUAUAGCACACAUACCGAUAUGAUAUAUAUGUACAAGCAGAUAGAUCAAGGCUGCUUACAAAAUUAUAUAAUUCGAUCCUUUUUUGGCGAUGAACCGUGUUUGAGCUAUCAUCGAGAGAAAAAAAUAAAAUAGCUUUUAAUUAAAAAAAAAAAAAGUACU